AAGAGAUGAAUGGAAUGAUGCGAUGAGGGCUAUCUCAUCACAAUAUUCCUGAAAGGACAAAAGGAUGAAAGGAUGACUUCCAUAGCCCUGUUUUCUUUAGACGCUGACUCCUGCUGUCUACCAGAUCCUCGUGGUACAAUGACUGGUGUAGACUGGCUUGUUGAAGUCACUCUCUGGAUCUGAGCAACGCUGGCUGAGCCGUGAUGAAGUAUUCCUAUCCAUCCACUAUGCUUCACAGUGGGAAUCUCUCACUGUUCAUCACCGCUGCCCUAGCAGCCGCAGGGAUUCUUCACCCAUGGUUGCUUAGGUUUAUAAGCAAGGAAGCUGAAUGAAGUCCCUUUCCUCUCUGGAUGAGCCCCUGGGUUUCUGGAAGAGUCUUAAAAUCACCCCUAAAUGGCUUCCAAGCACUGAAGCCCGAGAUGUUAGCUGGCCUGUGUGAGGCCUUGAGACAGAAUGCCACAGCCACACCCCAAGGAUGCUGAAGGGGAUUUCCCUCCUCUGUGGUUUUUCUCCUUUCUUCCCGCAGCACUCCUCCUACGUGCUAACAUCUUCUAGUCAAACAACUCUCCUUUUCAAAGGGACCAGGCACAGUUUCUGCUUAUCCCUGAGUAGCAGUGUUCAGUUUCCUGCCAGCCUGUGGAGUUUUUCAAACAAGCCAAUCACCUCCUCCUGUGGGAACUGAGAAGCACCCCACCCUCUCGAUACUACAAAGCCCCUGCUUGUUCCCUAGUGCAACUCCCAUGUGGUCCUGUGGAGCAUAUGGUAUCUUCCUCUUCUGGGCAGUGAGCAUAUGUGACUAAUAAACUAUCUAUCU
rnacentral:lncRNA from 1 species